GAGCCAUUAGCUCAGUCGGUAGAGCAUCUGACUUUUAAUCAGAGGGUCGAAGGUUCGAUUCCUUCAUGGCUCACCA
rnacentral:tRNA from 2 species